rnacentral:rRNA from 1 species
GGCAAACGGGUGAGUAACGCGUAAACAACCUGCCCUCAGGAUGGGGACAACAGCUGGAAACGGCUGCUAAUACCGAAUACGAUCAAUCGGCCGCAUGGCCGGAUGAUGAAAGGAUGGCCUCUAUAUAUAAGCUAUCGCCGGAGGAGGGGUUUGCGUCUGAUUAGCUAGUUGGAGGGGUAACGGCCCACCAAGGCGACGAUCAGUAGCCGGUCUGAGAGGACGAACGGCCACAUUGGAACUGAGACACGGUCCAGACUCCUACGGGAGGCAGCAGUGGGGAAUCUUCCGCAAUGGGCGAAAGCCUGACGGAGCAACGCCGCGUGAGUGAAGACGGCCUUCGGGUUGUAAAGCUCUGUUAUAUGGGACGAAUGUAUCUAUGGCCAAUACCCAUAGAUAGUGACGGUACCGUAAGAGAAAGCCACGGCUAACUACGUGCCAGCAGCCGCGGUAAUACGUAGGUGGCAAGCGUUGUCCGGAAUUAUUGGGCGUAAAGGGCGCGCAGGCGGCCUGUCAAGUCUGUCUUAAAAGUGCGGGGCUCAACCCCGUGAUGGGACGGAAACUGGCAGGCUGGAGUGUCGGAGAGGAAAGCAGAAUUCCUAGUGUAGCGGUGAAAUGCGUAGAUAUUAGGAGGAAUACCAGUGGCGAAAGCGGCUUUCUGGACGACAACUGACGCUGAGGCGCGAAAGCCAGGGGAGCAAACGGGAUUAGAUACCCCGGUAGUCCUGGCCGUAAACGAUGGGUACUAGGUGUAGGAGGUAUCGACCCCUUCUGUGCCGGAGUUAACGCAAUAAGUAUCCCGCCUGGGGAGUACGGCCGCAAGGCUGAAACUCAAAGGAAUUGACGGGGGCCCGCACAAGCGGUGGAGUAUGUGGUUUAAUUCGACGCAACGCGAAGAACCUUACCAAGCCUUGACAUUGAUUGAACGAGGCAG